UAAGAGGGGAGCCGUUCCCAAGGCUCCCGGUGAGGCCUGGGGAUUGAGUUUGGAUCCAGGCCCGGUUCGUGCAGAACUCCCACAGGAGCCUGGAGCUUUUCCCAUGGGCCCCCAAAAUUGCAGCAGAGUUCUUUGGGAUCCUGGUCCAAAAACACAGACAGCCGCGGAUGUAGCAGCGCGCGCGGCUCGUUUGGCGCCACGGCGGUCUGCUGUUAUGGCUAGCGGGGAUACCGCCAGCAGCAGCCGAACGAUGGGCAGAGCUCUGCUUCCACUCCGGUAUCUGCCCUCAUCAGCAGCAAUCAGAGCGGCCCGAUAGCGCUAUCAGCAGCUGCAUCGGAUGGAUCUCCCUGCUCUGUCCUGCCUUCUCACACUUCUUCCUACCCUCAUCGCCUUCGCUCCUCCUCUUUCUCGUCUUUCCUCCUUCUCACCUCUCUCUCCGCACCUCCUCCUUCUCCUCCUUUACAAAAAUUCCUGCAAUCAAUGUAGUGAUUUAACUUGAAUUUCAGGAAAUUCAAAUUAAGAUGCUUAGAUUGCGUUGUAAUUUAAACUUCAAGUUUUGCGUGGCGCCCUGAUGUUUGGUUGCCAGCAGAGGGUUCAAAAGCAGGUACGAGAUCUCUUUAUUAAUUUAUUUUUAUUUGUGUCCUGUCGGCAGUGUAGCACUCAGAAUUACUGUCAGAGUACCAAGCUGAACCCAACAGAUUUGCUUUCACAAGUGGAGGGUUACAGCUGUGAUGCUUUGCAUCUGGAAAGUAUUCACAGCACUUCAUUUUUACAAAGUUUUUGCUAUAAUCUUAUUCCAAAUUGUACUGAAUUAAAAAAUUUUAUCAGAAUUCUAGACACAAAUCCUAAUCUUGACAACUUGGACAAACAUUUAUGUCACAUUUGUGUCAUUGUGCCAGCUCUUUAGAAAGGCCCUUUAAGAAUCUACAACGUCAAUUAGCUAAAGCAUAACCUAAGAAAAAUUUUAGAAAAGUUGCUAUACAUGAGGUGGCUGUGGCUGUUUCUUUAUGUUAUUUCUGGAUUCUAUUAUUUUUUGAGUGUUAAUACAAAUUGUAUGAAAAUGAACACUUUCCUCAAAGUUUUACAUGCAAAUAUCCCGUUACGUUAAUGUGGAAGGUUUUUUUAGUGUUUUAAAAUUGUAUUAAAAAUAGCAAACCAAGAAAUGAAAUUUGUGUAAUUAUUCAGAGCCUCCAUGAAGCUCAGGUCAGGGGUUGAGGAGUAAAAUAAAAUUGAGCUACAAUAACACAAAAAAGUUACCAUAUAUUCUGUCUGCUAUUUAUAAUGGUGUUAAAAUAUUUUAACAUUUCUUUCCAUUAAAUGUAAUUUCUCUAAUUUCUCCAUUACUUCUAUGUCAAAGUGCUUUACUCCUUCUGGAUGUCAUGUAAUUCCGUUUUAGCAGAUCUACGACUACAGAACUGUAAAUGAUUUCCUUGAUUGAUGAAGGUGUACAAAUCAAAUUAUGGGAAGCAGCGAUGGCUGUUUGUUAAUGAAGCAUUGCCUCUAUCCUCUGCACACAAUGCAAAGCAGUUCAUUACACAAACAGAACAUGGACAGGCACAUAGGAGCAGAAUGAUGGCACAUUAAACAUGGCGGUAAAGAUUCAUAGAUAACAUUAAGCUUUUGUGUAAAUCAAAACAAUUUCCUGUUUUGCUGACAUGUUGUUAUAAGAGUGAAUUGUUGAGCUGCUGGUUAUUGUUUAGAGCUGCACAAAAUCGGCAUCAUUAAGUGCAGGAAACCACUUCUCUAUAAAAAGGCAUCUGAAUUAUGUAAAAAAAAAAAACAUUUAUCACUCUAAAUAUAACUGUCUAUGGAGUAUUUAGGUUGUAUUAUUGGUGGAAAUUGUUCAACAGUGAGACAUGAUUUCAAGAGUUUUAAUUAAUUUUACUUGGAAGUAUAUAUCCAAUAUAUAUCCAGUAUAUAUCAAAUAUUAAAAAACACCUAAUCAAUAAAUCAAAAAGUUGAACUGGGAUAUUGCAGUGUAAACGUAUUCAUAAUGUGUGAACUAUUUUUCAUGUUGUGUCACAAUACAAUAGCAGAUCUAAGUGCAUUUUAUUGAGCUUCAUUGUGAAACAGAGCAUAAUUAAAAAGUGGAGAUAAAAAAAUCUAAAAAAUGUGUAUCCUGCUCUCUGAGUUAAUACUUUAUAAGCACCCCUCACUAAAGGAUGACCCUGAACAUAACAUCGUCCUCAUGUUUUAAUUGUUUGCUUGUUUGUUUUUAGGUUUGCUAAUGUUCUGUUAAAUUGUAACUAGAAUACUUUAAAACAUAAUAAAGACAAAGAGAAAAAAAACA